AGGACGAACGCUGGCGGCGUGCUUAACACAUGCAAGUCGAGCGGUAAGGCCUCUUCGGGGGUACACGAGCGGCGAACGGGUGAGUAACACGUGGGUGACCUGCCCUUAGCUCUGGGAUAAGCCUGGGAAACUGGGUCUAAUACCGGAUAUGACUUGGCCUCGCAUGGGGUUGGGUGGAAAGUCCUGGGCUUUGUUGUCUGGGUUCGGCUGGGGAUGGGCCCGCGGCCUAUCAGCUUGUUGGUGGGGUGAUGGCUUACCAAGGCGACGACGGGUAGCCGGCCUGAGAGGGCGACCGGCCACACUGGGACUGAGACACGGCCCAGACUCCUACGGGAGGCAGCAGUGGGGAAUAUUGCGCAAUGGGCGGAAGCCUGACGCAGCGACGCCGCGUGGGAUGACGGCCUUCGGGUGUAAACCUCUUUCGUCAUCGACGAAGGCCUCGGUUGACGGUAGGUGGAGAAGAAGACGACCGCCGAACUACGUGCCACGCGAGCCGC
rnacentral:rRNA from 1 species